rnacentral:rRNA from 1 species
AUUGAACGCUGGCGGCAGGCCUAACACAUGCAAGUCGAGCGAGCGGCGGACGGGUGAGUAAUGUCUGGGAAACUGCCUGAUGGAGGGGGAUAACUACUGGAAACGGUAGCUAAUACCGCAUACAAUCAGAUGUGCCCAGAUGGGAUUAGCUAGGAGGUGGGGUAACGGCUCACCUAGGCGACGAACCCUAGCUGGUCUGAGAGGAUGACCAGCCCCACUGGAACUUAGAUACGGUCCCGACUCCUACGGGAGGCAGCAGUGGGGAAUAUUUCACAAUUGGCGCAAGCCUGAUGCCGCCAUGCCGCGUGUUUUAAGAAGGCCUUCGGGUUGUAAAGCCCUUUCCGCGGGGAGGCGUUACCCGCAGAAGAAGCACCGGCUAACUCCGUGCCAGCAGCCGCGGUAAUUC